AGUGAACGCUGGCGGUAGGCCUAACACAUGCAAGUCGAACGGCAGCACAGUAAGUGCUUGCUCUUUUGGGUGGCGAGUGGCGGCCGGGUGAGGAGUACAUCGGAAUUUACCUUUUCGCGGGGGAUAAAGAAGGGUAACUUACGCUAAUACCGCAUACGACCUACGGGUGAAUGCUGGGGAUCUUCGGACCUUGCGUGCUUGAGUGUGCCGAUGUCGGCUCAGCUAGUUGGCGGGGUAAAGGCCCACUAAGGCGACGAUCCGUAGGGGGUUUGCGAGGAUGAGCGGCGACACUGAAACUGGGACACGGUCCCGACCCCGACGGGGGGCGGCGGUAGGGAUUAUGGGACAAUGGGAGCAAGCCGAAUCCAGCCGUACCGAGGGGGUGAAGGAGGCCUUCGGGUUGUAAAGCCAUUUUGUUGGGAAAGAAGAGCAACAGGUUAAUACCCCGCGGUUCUGACGGUACCCGAAGAAUAAGCACCGGCUAACUACGUC
rnacentral:rRNA from 1 species